rnacentral:lncRNA from 1 species
AUCGUUAACCCACUGAGCAAGGGCAGGGACCGAACCCGCAACCUCAUGGUUCCUAGUCGGAUUCGUUAACCACUGCGCCACGACGGGAACUCCCAACAAUCAGUUUUUUAAAGUUCCAUUCAGAAACCAUUAAAGUGAUAAAAUAAUUUGUUUUUAAAAUGUUCUUCUGUUUUAAAAUUCAAAGCUCAGAAGGCAUACAAUUUUAGAAAAGUAUUCCAACUCUUAUUUAUAUGUAAUAUUUCAUGUUCUGGACUUCUAAGAUUUAGCCAAAGGUUAUGCACAUUUUUCUGACAACAACUUUUGUUACUUUUCUUCUUUCUGAUCAUUUUCCUAAGCAUUGCUCUUCUAGUUGUAAGAACCAUCUAGUGUACAGAUUUUGGGUUCCCAUGACAAUUUUCAGAAUCAGAAUAUCUGGAAAGGAAACCUUAGAGUUAUUGUAUUAAUCAAUACCCCAAGUGAUUCUUUCCUCUGUUUAGAUUCCACAAACUUGGUCCACACAAUCACCUUGCUAACUCAAGGCAGAGUAGACCAAAGGCUGGCACAGGUCAUUGCUACUUGAAAUACAGUUUGAUAAAAUUGGAACAACAAAAUGAGGUUGAUUAGUUAGGUAAGACUAUGGAUCUUUCCAGCAUAACCAUGUAGAGUUACGGACCAACUACCUAGUGAUUACAUUUUAACUAUGUAGCAGCAGGAAAAGACUUGGGCAGAAAACUAUAGACAAAUUAAUAUAGAUGUUUAUAACUUCAGUCAAUAAAUUACACACCUUUGUAUCCACAGAGUCUGUAUUUUCUGGUGUCCCACUGCUGAAGUGUAUAGAUAGUCACCAUGGAGACAUUCACUAGGUGCCUGAAAACAGAGCAUGGUGCCUUACACUCAACACAGAGUGAGUUUAUGUGCAUGUCUUUCACACUUGAUAGUGGAAAGGAUUACAGACAACACACUCACAAAUACUGCUGAUUCCUCCUGAAGCUUUCGAAAUUUCUAGAGUAAAAUAUCCCUAACAUUUUUAUAAUUAUUAUAGUAUUUGUGAAAUACACACAUACUUCGAAUAUCCUAUUUAAUAAUGUUUAGAGAAAUUUCUUACUAUUUACAGUAACUCAAAUACCUAUAUUUAUGGCUAAAUUACAAAAUGUUUUAUAAGCUAUUCACAUAGAAAUUAAGAUUCACAUCUAAUUUUCUCUCUCUGUGCCAUCUUUUUGUCUCUCUUCUCUCCUUUAUUCCCCUUUCCCUUCUUCCUCCUCUCUCUCUCCCUCUCAUUUAAAAAAAAAUCUUUCUAAUGAUUCUCCUAUCUUUUCAUAAGCAAUUGACUUUUCCUGCUUUCAGUUGCAUCUUAUUCCAUUCCAAUUAAAUGCUUUUCUUCUUUUGGAUCUUCCCAGCAUUAUUUUAUUUAGUCAUUGCAAUUUUUUAAAUGUGCUAAGUUGAAUUAAACAACAACUAAUAUUCUCCCUUUAAAAUUCAGCUCAUUCCCUUUCUUCAUGAAGCUUUCUUAAAACACAUCAUGUCAUAAUUCCUCAUAUUUAACUAAUAGUGCAUAUUGUAUUACCUACCUAUUGCUGCAUAAUAAAUUAUUCCAAAUCUUAUUGGCUUAAAUAGGAGACAUUUAUAGUUUCAUGUUUUCUCUGGAUCAGGAAUCUGAGCAUGACUUACCUGAUUCCUCAGCUUCAGGGUUUCUUAAAUGCCUGCAAUCAACAUUCCAGCCCAGGGCCACACUCAUCUCAAGAUUCAAUUGGGGAAAAUUCCUCUCCCAAGUUAGCUCAGUAUUGAUUGUUGGCAGGAUUCCAUCUCUUAUGGAUUGGUGGAUUGAGAGACCUCAGUGCCUGGCUAGUUGGCUGUACACUGCCAUAAAUUCUUUGCCAUGUGGACUGCUGCAGAAUGGCAGCCCUCUUCAUCAAAGUGAACAAGCUUAGAGAGAGAGACAGAGACAGAGAACCAACGCAAGAGAGAGAAGACGUGAUUUUUAACUUAAUCAUCAAAUGGGCUUGUCUGUAUUCUAUUAACUGGAAGCAAAUUACUAUAUCCACCUUACACUCAAGAGGAGAGUAUUGCAUAAGUGUAAAUAGUAGAAGAUGGGAAUUUCUGAAACUGUCUUCCACUCAUCGAGUAUCCAUCCACUUUAAACCCCAAGGAUUUCUUUACCUGUUGUAUCAUCAUGUAGCCCUAUCUUAAAUUUUUUUUUUUCUUAUUUGUGUUUUCACUUUUCCAGUACAUGGCAAGUUCCUUGAUCCUUACUUUCCUUAUUCUUUUAUAAUGUAUUGCAAUUUCUAUGUUUUAUAUUACUCAAGUCAGUUAAUUCAAUGCUCCUCUGUCUCCCUGGAGAUGGAAAAGGAAUUUAGAUAUGGCUCUUAGUUGCACAGCUCAUUCACAUUGUGCUUUUUGUUCCAGAGAAGAUAAAAUCACCUGUUCAUCACCUUUAGAAAAUGUGCACACAAUUUUAUCUGGACACUCUAUUGUAUAUUUCAAAAUAUACAUAAAAUUAGUAUUUGUUUUUAUAGAAUGUUUAUAUUGCAAAAAAAUAGGUUUUCAUCACGGCUAGAGCUAAACCUAUUACCUUUUCAACCAUAUACCAUUAUAACUAAACACAAUUUCUAGAGUUCUGAUUCUGAAUUAAAAAAUAUAACCAGUCCUCAACUAAGUUUUAUACAAUGAAUGUCCAGACUACAGUUCUACAAACUGUCUAAAUCAAUACCAUAUAUCAUAUCUUGCAACAGUGGUUUACUUAAUUUUUAUUCAUUCUCAUUAAGAUUCCUUAGAUGGAGACACUUAUGUUAGUCAUCUUCUUAACUAAGGAUUACAGAUUAGGGAUGCCUUGGCCUGACUGAAGCCAGAAAAUCAAAUAAAUGACAUGAUAGUCUGAUUUAGAAAUUAGCAGCAUCUUUUUUUCCUAUUAUGCUAACAUAAAACAUAUAGAUAUACUUUCUUGACUUUUCCAAAGAAUAAUUUUUGUUCACAACAGACGUAUUUUCACAUCCUUUGUAACACUCAGCAGUAAUGCAGUUGACAAUCUAGUGGCUUUACAAAUGUAAUUAAACAUUUAAUUUGCAUUUCCCUAAAAGCGAAAAUGAGCAUCUUCUCAUAGGUAUAUUUACUCUUCUGAUAAUGUCUUUUAAUAUAAUUUGCUCUUUUUUCAUUGUGUUUCUUAUUUAUUUUUAGAUUCCAAAGAUAUUGUAAAUAUUUUGUCAGUCUCAGUCUUUCUAUUAUUUAUUGCAGCAUAUGUCAUGCACACUUUUGGGAAGAGUUGGCAGUAUGUCUAUCAUUAACUUCAUAGUCUCAAGCAGUUUUUAGUUUACUAAAGGAGUUAUAAUUUAAUUUUUUUAUUUAAAAAUGUUAGGAAUCUGACUUUCUAUUCUAUCAGUUGGAAAGCUAAAUGUUCCAACACCAUUUAUCAAAUGAUCUUUUUACAAAUUUAAAUACAACACAUGUUUUUAUUGAAAUCCCAUAGGCAAAUUAUAGAUAGAUUACUUUGUUCCUCUGGUAAUGAGCAAAUAUUUGAUCCAUUUGGUAGUUUCUGAGCCAAACCGUUGAUUACUUUGGCCAUAAAUUAAGCUUUAAUUUUGUAUAAGACCAGACUCUUGUAACUUCAUUUUAAUCAUUUUCUUGUUUUUUAGACUUCUUUUGACAUAUGCACUUUAAAAUGACAUAUUGUUAAAUACAUACGCUUGCUCGGUUUUGAUUCCAAUUGCAUUAGUUAUGUCUAUUAAUUUAGAGACGAAUGAUACUUUGAUGAUACUGAGUCUUCCUUGGUAGGAAUAUAUUACAUUGCUUUACUAGUUUAAGUUCUCAUUUUCUGUAAUAAAAUCACAUAGAUUUUACCAUUUAGUUUCUUUCAGAUUUAUUUUGUUUAUUUCACACAAAAAUAUUCAUAGCUUUUUGUGUUCUUGUGAAUGAAGUAAUGUUUACAUUUCCAGUUGGUUAUUUUACGUAGAGACAAAGAAAGAUGAAACCACUGUUUUUUUUGUAUAUUUAUCUGAUUUCCGUCUGACAUCAGUUUUUCAUUUUAAUACUACUAACUUUUGCUAUCUUCUAAAGGAUUGUAUUAAUUAUAGAAUCAUAAUUUCUACUAAUAGAGGUAAUUGUUUAAUUUUUAUAGUGUAAUAGUUUUUGUUAAACUUUUAUAAUGAUGCUCUCAUUUUAUUUACAUAUGUGUUAGACUCUCAAAAUGUUGUUUAGUAAUUACGCUAGUAUUCCUAUGGUCCUUAUGAUUUAAGUGGUUUGGCUUUUAGCAUUUUUUAUUUAUACUGUUAUAUGCUAUUGGCUUUUUGGUAUAUAUUUUUGCAUGGGAGGAGAAUUAAAUAAUGGAGUUCCCCUUCCAUUACAACAGCACAAAAUACAUGGCCAGCUGGAAUGAAAAUACUUUCCAAAUUCCACUGUUCACUUUGAUCUUGAAAACUUGAGCCAUCUGAAGAAUUUGAAAUUAACUGAUAAAUAUACACAGAGCUACAAAUUUGCUUACCAGAAUUGGGAACCAGGACAAGGAAAAAACAUAUUAAUAUGUGAAAUACAUAGCCAGCAAGAUAUUUUUUGGAGGGAUCCAUCUCCUAGAGUAUUGAAAAUUAAAACAAAAAUAAACAAAUGGAAUCUAAUUUGACUUCAAAGCUUUUACACAGCAAAGGAAACCAUAAAUAAAUGAAAAAACACUAUGGAAUGGGAGAAAAUACUUGCAAACAUUGCAAAUGACAAGAGAUUAACUUCCAAAAUAUACAAACAGCUCAUACAGCUCAAUAACAAAAAAGCAAAUACUCUGAUCAAAAAAGGGCAGAAGACAUAAAAAGACAUUUCUCCAAAGAAGACAUGCAGAUGGCUGAGACACAUGAAAAAAAGAAAUGCUCAACAUUACUAAUUAUCUGAGAAAUGCAAAUCAGAUAUACAAAUGAGGUAUCCCCUCACACUUGUCAGAAUGACUAUUAUCAAAAAGUCUAUAAAUAUAUGCUGGAUAGGGUUUGGAGAAAAAGGAACCUUCCAACACUGUUGGUUGGGGCACUCACUAUGGAGAACUGUAUGGAGGUUCCUCAAAAGACUAAAAAUAUUGUUACCAUAAGAUCCAGCAAGACAACUCCUGGGCAUAUAUUUGGCAAAAACUGUAAUUUGAAAAGAUAUAUGCACCCCAGUGUUCAUUGCAGCACUAUUUACAAUAGCCAAGACAUGGAACCAACUUAAAUAUCCAUUCACAGAUGAAUGGAUAAAGAAGAUGUGUGUGUGUAUAUAUACACACACAUACACACAUAAUGGACUAUUACUCAGACAUAAAAAUAAUUAAAUAAUGCCAUUUGUACCAAUAUGGAUGGACCUAGAGAUGAUUGUAUGAAGUGAAGUAAGCCAGAUAGAAAAAACAAAUAUAAUAUGGUAUCAUUUAUAUGUGGAAUCAUAAAAAAAAAACAUGCAAAUGAAUUUACUAACAAGAUUUACAGGCAUAGAAAACAAACCAAAGGGGAAAAGGAAGGGAGGGACAAAUUAAGAGGUCAGGUUAACAUAUACACACUACUGUAUAUGAAAUAGAUAAGAAACAAGGACCUACUGUAUAGCACAGGGGAU